GAUGAACGCUGGCGGUAUGCUUAACACAUGCAAGUCGAACGGACUCUUCGGAGUUAGUGGCGGACGGGUGAGUAACGCGUGAGAAUCUGGCUUUGGGUUCGGGACAACCACUGGAAACGGUGGCUAAUACCGGAUGUGCCGAGAGGUAAAAGAGAAAUUGCCUGAAGAUGAGCUCGCGUCUGAUUAGCUAGUUGGUGAGGUAAAGGCUCACCAAGGCAGCGAUCAGUAGCUGGUCUGAGAGGAUGACCAGCCACACUGGGACUGAGACACGGCCCAGACUCCUACGGGAGGAAGCAGUGGGGAAUUUUACGCAAUGGGCGAAAGCCUGACGGAGCAAUACCGCGUGAGGGAAGAAGGCUCUUGGGUUGUAAACCUCUUUUCUUAGGGAAGAACAAAAUGACGGUACCUAAGGAAUCAGCAUCGGCUAACUCCGUG
rnacentral:rRNA from 1 species